AUUGAACGCUGGCGGCAGGCCUAACACAUGCAAGUCGAGCGGAUGAAGGGAGCUUGCUCCUGGAUUCAGCGGCGGACGGGUGAGUAAUGCCUAGGAAUCUGCCUGGUAGUGGGGGAUAACGUCCGGAAACGGGCGCUAAUACCGCAUACGUCCUGAGGGAGAAAGUGGGGGAUCUUCGGACCUCACGCUAUCAGAUGAGCCUAGGUCGGAUUAGCUAGUUGGUGGGGUAAAGGCCUACCAAGGCGACGAUCCGUAACUGGUCUGAGAGGAUGAUCAGUCACACUGGAGCUGAGACACGGUCCAGACUCCUACGGGAGGCAGCAGUGGGGAAUAUUGGACAAUGGGCGCAAGCCUGGUCCAGCCAUGCCGCGUGUGUGAAGAAGGUCUUCGGAUUGUAAAGCACUUUAAGUUGGGAGGAAGGGCAGUAAGUUAAUACCUUGCUGUUUUGACGUUACCAACAGAAUAAGCACCGGCUAACUUCGUG
rnacentral:rRNA from 1 species